UUUUAUAAAUACUAUAUGGUAUGGACUUUGCUCAAUGGUGAAGACCGUUCGGUAACCUAAGUUACAAAGUUGCCAAUUUUGUGCUAUUUAGUCUCUUGUGAAGAGUUGUCCCAUUGGUAGUCAUACCACAUCUUCUUUUAUAUAAUGGUAGUAGAUUAUCACUUAUCAAGGUUAAUAGUUAUCAAAGGUACCAGGAUUAUAUUUUAAUACGCUAGACG
rnacentral:lncRNA from 1 species